AGUAGGAACCAUACCAAAAACCAAAAUAGUUUAGGGUCGGGAAAUCUAUGAAGCAGUGCUUAGCAACCACAGGCCAAGGAAGAAAAUGUGCAUAAAUACUUGUUAGGUUUUUGGAGUGGGAACAGGACAAUAAAUGACUCUCGCUAUCUUGCUUGCUACUUCUAGAACGCUGAACCAAUUGAGUUGCAGACAAAGGACUCAAGCAGAUGGAGAUCAAAAUAUUAGCUUUUCAACUGUUUAAGCUGUAACCAUUUAAAAAUAUAAUGAAAAUAAAAGAGCUCUUUCAUAAUGGCAACAAAAUUAUAAACUAGCUAUGGAUAAACUUAAGAAGUAAUGAGCAGUAGUGACGAGAAGAAAAUUUGCUGAGGGCCUUAGAAAAGACCUAAAUGGAAAGACGCAUCUUAUUCAGGGAGAGGAGGAUUUGAUUUAACAAAGACACGGUUCUCCACAAAGAAGACUCUGAUCUUCUAUUACCAUCCAGAGUUUCCAAGCAAAAAAUAUUUAAAGACUUGAAGAAAAACAGAAAGAUUAUAAAAAACAGUGGAAGUUGUAGGUGUCAAGAAUCCCAGGACCUGGAAUAAAGCUCAUUAUCAGACAGGAAGAGGAAGGGUAUAACUGAAAAAUCAUCAGGAACAAGUGUGCAGACAUGAGUGUGGGAAAGAACGUUGUAGCUGGAGGCAAAGAAACACGGAGGGAAGGGGAGAGAUUUGAUGCUAGGCAGGCAGUAGAUGUCAGUUUGUGGAAGAAAUUCACUGAUUCUUUGCCUUUGAUUCCUAACAUUUCCUCUAGCAAAAUUAAAAGUUCAUCACAUUUUAGCUGUUUGUAAUUUUCUACUUUUCUUAGAACUUGCCAUAUUUCCUUAUCAGUGAGCCAUCUGUACACAUGCCAUAGA